UGGGGAAUAUUGGGCAAUGGGCGCAAGCCUGACCCNGCAACGCCGCGUGAAGGAAGAAGGCUUUCGGGUUGUAAACUUCUUUUCUCAGGGACGAACAGAUGACGGUACCUGAGGAAUAAGCCACGGCUAACUACGUGCC
rnacentral:rRNA from 1 species